GAUGAACGCUGGCGGCGUGCCUAAUACAUGCAAGUCGAGCGAACAGACGAGGAGCUUGCUCCUCUGACGUUAGCGGCGGACGGGUGAGUAACACGUGGAUAACCUACCUAUAAGACUGGGAUAACUUCGGGAAACCGGAGCUAAUACCGGAUAAUAUAUUGAACCGCAUGGUUCAAUAGUGAAAGACGGUUUUGCUGUCACUUAUAGAUGGAUCCGCGCCGCAUUAGCUAGUUGGUAAGGUAACGGCUUACCAAGGCGACGAUGCGUAGCCGACCUGAGAGGGUGAUCGGCCACACUGGAACUGAGACACGGUCCAGACUCCUACGGGAGGCAGCAGUAGGGAAUCUUCCGCAAUGGGCGAAAGCCUGACGGAGCAACGCCGCGUGAGUGAUGAAGGUCUUCGGAUCGUAAAACUCUGUUAUUAGGGAAGAACAAAUGUGUAAGUAACUAUGCACGUCUUGACGGUACCUAAUCAGAAAGCCACGGCUGACUACGUG
rnacentral:rRNA from 1 species